rnacentral:rRNA from 1 species
CCCCUACGGGAGGCAGCAGUGGGGAAUCUUCCGCAAUGGACGAAAGUCUGACGGAGCAACGCCGCGUGAGUGAUGACGGCCUUCGGGUUGUAAAGCUCUGUUAAUCGGGACGAAAGGUCCUCUUGCGAAUAGUUAGAGGAAUUGACGGUACCGGAAUAGAAAGCCACGGCUAACUACGUGCCAGCAGCCGCGGUAAUGGGG